rnacentral:rRNA from 1 species
GACGAACGCUGGCGGCGUGCUUAACACAUGCAAGUCGAACGGAAAGGCCCUGCUUUUGUGGGGUGCUCGAGUGGCGAACGGGUGAGUAACACGGGAGUAACCUGCCCUUGACUUUGUGAUAACUUCAGGAAACUGGUGCUAAUACCGGAUAGGAGCUCCUGCUGCAUGGUGGGGGUUGGAAAGUUUCGGCGGUUGGGGAUGGACUCGCGGCUUAUCAGCUUGUUGGUGGGGUAGUGGCUUACCAAGGCUUUGACGGGUAGCCGGCCUGAGAGGGUGACCGGCCACAUUGGGACUGAGAUACGGCCCAGACGCCUACGGGAGGCAGCAGUGGGGAAUAUUGCACAAUGGGCGGAAGCCUGAUGCAGCAACGCCGCGUGCGGGAUGACGGCCUUCGGGUUGUAAACCGCUUUCGCCUGUGACGAUGCGUGAGUGACGGUAAUGUGUAAAGAAGCACCGGCUAACUACGUG